rnacentral:rRNA from 1 species
GACGAACGCUGGCGGCGUGCCUAAUACAUGCAAGUCGAACGAGAGCGACCGGUGCUUGCACUGGUCAAUCUAGUGGCGAACGGGUGAGUAACACGUGGGUAACCUGCCCAUCAGAGGGGGAUAACAUCCGGAAACGGAUGCUAAAACCGCAUAGGUCUUCGAGCCGCAUGGCUUGAAGAGGAAAAGAGGCGCAAGCUUCUGCUGAUGGAUGGACCCGCGGUGCAUUAGCUAGUUGGUGAGGUAACGGCUCACCAAGGCCGUGAUGCAUAGCCGACCUGAGAGGGUGAUCGGCCACAUUGGGACUGAGACACGGUCCAAACUCCUACGGGAGGCAGCAGUAGGGAAUCUUCCGCAAUGGACGCAAGUCUGACGGAGCAACGCCGCGUGAGUGAAGAAGGUUUUCGGAUCGUAAAACUCUGUUGUUAGGGAAGAACAAGUGCUAGAGUAACUGUUAGCGCCUUGACGGUAUCUAACCAGAAAGCCACGGCUAACUACGUG